rnacentral:tRNA from 1 species
AUCUUUUUAGUAUAAUAAUACAAAUGACUUCCAAUCAUUUAAUCUUAGUUAAAAUCUAGGAGAAGAUA